rnacentral:rRNA from 1 species
GAUGAACGCUGGCGGCGUGCCUAAUACAUGCAAGUCGAGCGAACAGACGAGGAGCUUGCUCCUCUGACGUUAGCGGCGGACGGGUGAGUAACACGUGGAUAACCUACCUAUAAGACUGGGAUAACUUCGGGAAACCGGAGCUAAUACCGGAUAAUAUAUUGAACCGCAUGGUUCAAUAGUGAAAGACGGUUUUGCUGUCACUUAUAGAUGGAUCCGCGCCGCAUUAGCUAGUUGGUAAGGUAACGGCUUACCAAGGCAACGAUGCGUAGCCGACCUGAGAGGGUGAUCGGCCACACUGGAACUGAGACACGGUCCAGACUCCUACGGGAGGCAGGAGUAGGGAAUCUUCCGCAAUGGGCGAAAGCCUGAAGGAGCAACGCCGCGUGAGUGAUGAAGGUCUUCGGAUCGUAAAACUCUGUUAUUAGGGAAGAACAAAUGUGUAAGUAACUAUGCACGUCUUGACGGUACCUAAUCAGAAAGCCACGGCUAACUACGUG